CUCCACUCUCGACGGCUUCUGCUCUUGGCUCCAGGGUCCACUCUCGCCAUCCUCCCUUCUCAUUGACUUUGCCGAAGGAAACACGGCGCCUGGAGCCGUUUGUCAUUCCAUUCUGUGUUAUUUGUUUUCUCUCUGGAGAGGCCGGAGCGGAGUUACGAAUCUGCCUGGUUCAGAGGUGACUGGAUGAAGAGACGGAGAGAGACAGAGAGAGAGAGAAGUAUCUGCGGCCGAGAAGCGACAGAUACUGCCUCACCCGCUGAGUUUCUCCAGCAUUUUUGUCUACCCAGUUAGAUUGAAAGGGUCGGCGAGAAAGAUCGGAGAAAAGGGGAGAUCGAAAGAUAUGGAGGCAGCUGUGAAACAGGAUAGCAAAGACUAAAUUGGUGCGCAGACUGAGCAAAGGUA